rnacentral:lncRNA from 1 species
AACCCAUCCCCCCCCCCCCUUAUGACGUCAUCAAUGACGUCAUAAUGACAUCAUAAUGACGUCAUUGACCCUAUAGGGCCUGCGAGAACAUGAACUUCUCCUGGCGCAACGAGUGCAACCAAUGCAAAGCCCCCAAACCCGAGGGUCCCGGUGCCCCCCAUAUGGGCAAGUACCCCGGGGGGGGCAACCGCGGGGGGGGCAACCACAUGGGUACGUAUAUACGGGGUAAUCAUAUGCAAAUGAGGUGUUAAUGAGAUGCAAAUGAGAUGUAUGACGUCACCUUUGUCUCGGCCAAUAGGAGGCGGCGGCUUCGGAGAGGAGCGGAGAGGAGGCCGAGGGGGCUUCGAGAGGGGGGGGGGGUACAGGGGGGGAGGGGGGAGGGGGGGGGACAGGGGGGGGGGGGUUCCGAGGAGGAAGAGGAGGAGGAGGAGGAGGAGAGCGAGGAGGGUUCGGGCCUGGCAAGAUGGACUCCAGGGGCGACCACCGGCAGGACCGCCGCGAGAGGCCCUAUUGAGCCCCAUAGAUCCUGCCCCAUAUAGCCCCUAUAGCCCCUAUACCCCCCCCAUGUUUUGUAUUGGACCUUCCCCCCCCCCUCCCUUUUUAACCCCCCCCAUCCCCAUUAAAGCCGUCACCGGGAGGGGGGGAACCCACCUGAUUGGUCACUUGGGCUCCGCCUCGCCCUCUGAUUGGUCGCCUGGGGCCGGGCGCUGCUCUGAUUGGUCGCCUGGGGACGGACGCUGCUCUGAUUGGUCGGUUGGCUCCCCCAUAGCUUUAUUAUAGGGCGCGUCUAAUGAGGCGCUUCCGGGGGGGUCAUUAUGGGGCUGAGGUGGCCACGGGUGGGGCUCGGGCCCCUUCCGCUGCCCUCGGGGCCUAUGGGGCACCUAUAGGGGCCCUAUAGAUCCUAUAGGAGGGGUUAAUGGUGACCUAUGGGACCCUGGAGGGUGCCUAUAGGGGUUGCUGGCUCCAAAGUACCUCUAUGGGGCGGGGGUGGUGGGGGUCUAAAGGUUCGCGCUAUAGGGCCUUAGUGGGACUCUAUGGGGUUAUGAGAGUACUCUAUAGGUACUACUCUAUAGUAGGCUCUAUAGGGCUCUAUGAUGCUCUAUAGGGGAGGUCUAGCUCUGUAGGGCUCUAUGAUGCUUUGUAGGGGGGCUCUAUAGGGCUCUGUGAUGCUCUAUGGAGAGUAUAGGCUCUGUAGGGCUCUUUAUGAUGCUCUAUAAGGGGGUCUAUAGGUUCUAUAGGGCUCUGAUGCUCUAUAGGGAUUGUCUAUAUGCUCUAUAGGGCUCUAUGAUGCUCUAUGGGGGGGGUCUAUAGGCUCCCCUAUAGGGUCCCAUUGGGGGGGGG